rnacentral:rRNA from 1 species
UACAGAGACUGCGAGCGUUAUUCGGAUUCACUGGGCGUAAAGGGUGCGCAGGCGCCAAGUGUGUGAGGCGUGAAAGCCCGGGGCUCAACCCCGGAAUUGCACCUCAAACUACAUGGCUAGAGUACUGGAGAGGGUAACGGAAUUCAUGGUGUAGCAGUGAAAUGCGUAGAUAUCAGGAGGAAUACCGAUGGCGAAGGCAGGUCUCUGGGCUGACACUGACGCUCAUGCACGAAGCGUAGGGGAGCGAAACAAGG